CGAACGGGUGAGUAAUGCGUGACCAACCUGCCCCAUGCUCCAGAAUAGCUCUUGGAAACGGGUGGUAAUGCUGGAUGCUCCAACUUGACGCAUGUCUUGUUGGGAAAGUGUUUAGUGGCAUGGGAUGGGGUCGCGUCCUAUCAGCUUGUAGGCGGGGUAAUGGCCCACCUAGGCUUCGACGGGUAGCCGGCCUGAGAGGGCGGACGGCCACAUUGGAACUGAGACACGGUCCAAACUCCUACGGGAGGCAGCAGCC
rnacentral:rRNA from 1 species